GGUAGAAUAUAAUCCUCUAAUAGAUCAAGCACGUGCCUAUUGUUGGAGACCAAGCACGUGUUAUUUCUACUAACUAUAUAAAAAGAGCGAAUAGCUCUAUCUACAGUAUUUUGGUUUAUUCAAGUUUUGGUGAGUAAAAUGGUGCGUUUGGGUGAGGUUUUAGUGGGAGACCAAACAAAGACAAAACUGAGAGAGAAAUAAAUUAUCUUCUGGCUCAGGGAGUGGGGUAUGUACUGUUUGAAGAAGAGAGGCCAGCAGAGAGAGAGAGGCUUGGUGAGAAAAUACAGAAAGAGUGAUCUCACUCUUUUCUUUGGACAAAUCUGAGAGAUGGAGAGUGGGGUGGGUUUGGUUUUACUCAAAUCACACUUCAGUUAGAAGAACAUUCAUGGAUGCAGACGGAUUGAGAUGGUAAAGCAACAGCAGUAAAGCAAUGGCAAAAAAGAGGACUUCAUUUACCAAAAACAGAAGAAGACUCCGGAAGGAAAAAUGAAGAAACAGCAUCGUCAAAAACACAGAGAGAGAGUGCAAGCGACAUAGAGAAGAAGAAUAGGAAGAUGGUGGUGCGAUCUCAAGUCUAAUAGCAUCUCACGAUGGUUGAAGCUUCAGCCUUCAACAAUGGCUGUAAGUGUGUAAGUACUCUGAAGGGAGCAUAAUUUAAAGCUUGUUUUUAUGUGUUCUUUUUUGUUUUUGUUUUUUUUUUUAGGUUUACAUUCAAAGGGAAGUAGGGAAUCGUGAGAAGCGGUCUGAUCACGAUUCUCAGAACCGUGCGGUUGGACCACGGUUUGAAUGGUUUCCUGCUUUUUUGGCAUAGACCGGUUCUUAAGACUAAAAGAACCGUGUUUGUGAAAGGUUCACGGUUAACCCGAUCGGACCGUACGGUCCGGUCCGAGUUUAAAAAUCUUGUUCCAGAUACGAAUGCUCUUAUACUACCAUGUCUAGUGACACAAAAUAUUUUUUAA